rnacentral:rRNA from 1 species
UGCAGUCGAACGGCAGCACGGGUGCUUGCACCUGGUGGCGAGUGGCGUACGGGUGAGUAAUAUAUCGGAACGUACCUUAUCGUGGGGGAUAACGCAGCGAAAGCUGCGCUAAUACCGCAUACGCCCUGAGGGGGAAAGCGGGGGACCGUAAGGCCUCGCGCGAUUAGAGCGGCCGAUAUCUGAUUAGCUUGUUGGUGGGGUAAAAGCCCACCAAGGCGACGAUCAGUAGCUGGUCUGAGAGGACGAUCAGCCACACUGGGACUGAGACACGGCCCAGACUCCUACGGGAGGCAGCAGUGGGGAAUUUUGGACAAUGGGGGCAACCCUGAUCCAGCAAUGCCGCGUGAGUGAAGAAGGCCUUCGGGUUGUAAAGCUCUUUUGUCAGGGAAGAAACAGCAGCUCUAACACAGUCUGCGAAUGACGGUACCUGAAGAAUAAGCACCGGCUAACUACGUGCCAGCAGCCGCGGUAAUACGUAGGGUGCAAGCGUUAAUCGGAAUUACUGGGCGUAAAGCGUGCGCAGGCGGUUAUACAAGACAGGCGUGAAAUCCCCGGGCUUAACCUGGGAAUGGCGUCUGUGACUGUAUGACUAGAGUGUGUCAGAAGGGGGUAGAAUUCCACGUGUAGCAGUGAAAUGCGUAGAUAUGUGGAGGA